rnacentral:rRNA from 1 species
AUGGCAGAGAGGCAUAACCAGCCAGGUGUUCUUGAGAAAUUCUUUCUCGCGGGAGGAGUUUCAGUGAUAUCAAAGUCUGCUGCGGCUCCAUUCGAAAGGGUGAAGCUCCUGCUGCAAUACCAAGAGGAGCUUGUGAGGCUUGGUAUUCUUCCUGAGCCAUUCAAGGGGAUUACAGACUGUUGCAAACGCCUUGUCAAGACUGAAGGUCUCCGGUCCCUCUGGAGAGGAAAUCUUGCUAAUGUGAUGCGUUAUUUUCCUCAGCAGUCCCUGGUCUUCUCCCUGAAUGAGUACUACAACGCCGUUGUUCUUCCGGCUGUUUGGGGCAGGGCCCCGCCUAACAGUGAGGAUCGAUACUCCACACGGUUCUUUUGGCAUGCUGGGUGUGGGAGCGCUGCAGGAGCCAUGUCCCUGCUGUUGUUUUAUCCAUUGGAGGUCUCAAGGACCAAGCUUGCCAAUGAUCUUAAGAUGAAAGGCAAAUGGGAAUUCGAUGGUCACCUGGAUGUUUAUCGUCGUAUAUUGGGACCCAGAGCACACGUGGAGGAUCUAUACAGGGGGUAUCUCGUCUCCUCGUAUGGAGCAGGGAUAUACCGUGGCCUGUACUUUGGACUUUAUGGCGCCCUCAAGUCUAUUGUUCUCACUGGCAGUAGCAAGCAGGAUGAUUUCCUAGCCAAUUUUGCAUUAGCAUGGAUGACAACCAACAUGUCGGCCUUUGCAACAUACCCAAUUGAUACAAUUAGGAGAAGAAUGAUGAUGAAUGGGUUUAGCUUCUCUGAGGUGUUGCUGGAUGUGGGUGCCACCCCAAGGUUGCUGUACAAGGGAGCUGGUGCGAACAUUCUUCGGUCAGGUGUUGCGGGAGCCUUUAUGUUGGCUGGAUAUGAUCAAGUGCAGGCAUCUCUCACCAGCAGGGGGAAGGUCUGA